rnacentral:rRNA from 1 species
GGAGAGUGGCGCACGGGUGAGUAACGCGUGGGGACCUACCUCUUAGUGGGGGAUAACGGUUGGAAACGACCGCUAAUACCGCAUACGCCCUUCGGGGGAAAGAUUUAUCGCUAAGAGAUGGACCCGCGUUGGAUUAGAUAGUUGGUGAGGUAACGGCUCACCAAGUCAGCGAUCCAUAGCUGGUUUGAGAGGAUGAUCAGCCACACUGGGACUGAGACACGGCCCAGACUCCUACGGGAGGCAGCAGUGGGGAAUAUUGGACAAUGGGGGCAACCCUGAUCCAGCCAUGCCGCGUGAGUGAAGAAGGCCUUCGGGUUGUAAAGCUCUUUCAGAUGCGAAGAUGAUGACGGUAACAUCAGAAGAAGCCCCGGCUAAUUUCGUGCCAGCAGCCGCGGUAAUACGAAAGGGGCUAGCGUUGUUCGGAUUUACUGGGCGUAAAGGGCACGCAGGCGGUCUUGCCAGUCAGGGGUGAAAGCCCGGGGCUCAACCCCGGAACUGCCUC